GGGGAAUCUUCCACAAUGGGCGAAAGCCUGAUGGAGCAACGCCGCGUGAAUGAAGAAGGCCUUAGGGUCGUAAAGUUCUGUCCUUACGGAAGAACCGUGGGUAUAGAAAAUGAUACCCACCUGACGGUACCUUUGGAGGAAGCACUGGCUAACUACGUGCCAGCAGCCGCGGUAAUACGUAGAGUGCAAGCGUUGUCCGGAAUUAUUGGGCGUAAAGGGUACGCAGGCGGAUACUCAAGUCAAGCGUCAAAGGUGUCGGCUUACCCGACAGAC
rnacentral:rRNA from 1 species